CUACGGGUUGCUGCAGUGGGGAAUAUUGCACAAUGGGCGCUAGCCUGAUGCAGCCAUGCCGCGUGUAUGAAGAAGGCCUUCGGGUUGUAAAGUACUUUCAGCGGGGAGGAAGGGAGUAAAGUUAAUACCUUUGCUCAUUGACGUUACCCGCAGAAGAAGCACCGGCUAACUCCGUGCCAGCAGCCGCGGUAAUACGGAGGGUGCAAGCGUUAAUCGGAAUUACUGGGCGUAAAGCGCACGCAGGCGGUUUGUUAAGUCAGAUGUGAAAUCCCCGGGCUCAACCUGGGAACUGCAUCUGAUACUGGCAAGCUUGAGUCUCGGAGAGGGGGGUAGAAUUCCAGGUGUAGCGGUGAAAUGCGUAGAGAUCUGGAGGAAUACCGGUGGCGAAGGCGGCCCCCUGGACGAAGACUGACGCUCAGGUGCGAAAGCGUGGGGAGCAAACAGGAUUAGAUACCCGCGUAGUC
rnacentral:rRNA from 1 species